rnacentral:rRNA from 1 species
AUUGAACGCUGGCGGCAGGCCUAACACAUGCAAGUCGAACGAGUGGCGGACGGGUGAGUAAUGUCUGGGAAACUGCCUGAUGGAGGGGGAUAACUACUGGAAACGGUAGCUAAUACCGCAUACCAUCGGAUGUGCCCAGAUGGGUUUAGCUGGUUGGUGGGGUAAAGGCUCACCAAGGCGACGAUCCCUAGCUGGUCUGAGAGGAUGACCAGCCACACUGGAACUGAGACAGGGUCCAGACUCCUACGGGAGUCAGCAGUGGGGAAUAUUGCAAAAUGGGAGCAAUCCUGAGGCAGCCAUGCCGCGUGUAUGAAGAAGGCCUUCGGGUUGUAAAGUACUUUCAGCGGGGAGGCGUUACCCGCAGAAGAAGCACCGGCUAACUCCGUGCCAGCAGCCGCGGUAAUAC